UUAGAGUUUGAUCCUGGCUCAGAACGAACGCUGGCGGCGUGGAUAAGACAUGCAAGUCGAACGAGAGAAUUGCUAGCUUGCUAAUAAUUCUCUAGUGGCGCACGGGUGAGUAACACGUGAGUAACCUGCCCCCGAGAGCGGGAUAGCCCUGGGAAACUGGGAUUAAUACCGCAUAGUAUCGAAAGAUUAAAGCAGCAAUGCGCUUGGGGAUGGGCUCGCGGCCUAUUAGUUAGUUGGUGAGGUAACGGCUCACCAAGGCGAUGACGGGUAGCCGGUCUGAGAGGAUGUCCGGCCACACUGGAACUGAGACACGGUCCAGACACCUACGGGUGGCAGCAGUCGAGAAUCAUUCACAAUGGGGGAAACCCUGAUGGUGUGACGCCGCGUGGGGGAAUGAAGGUCUUCGGAUUGUAAACCCCUGUCAUGUGGGAGCAAAUUAAAAAGAUAGUACCACAAGAGGAAGAGACGGCUAACUCUGUGCCAGCAGCCGCGGUAAUACAGAGGUCUCAAGCGUUGUUCGGAAUCACUGGGCGUAAAGCGUGCGUAGGCUGUUUCGUAAGUCGUGUGUGAAAGGCGCGGGCUCAACCCGCGGACGGCACAUGAUACUGCGAGACUAGAGUAAUGGAGGGGGAACCGGAAUUCUCGGUGUAGCAGUGAAAUGCGUAGAUAUCGAGAGGAACACUCGUGGCGAAGGCGGGUUCCUGGACAUUAACUGACGCUGAGGCACGAAGGCCAGGGGAGCGAAAGGGAUUAGAUACCCCUGUAGUCCUGGCAGUAAACGGUGCACGCUUGGUGUGCGGGGAAUCGACCCCCUGCGUGCCGGAGCUAACGCGUUAAGCGUGCCGCCUGGGGAGUACGGUCGCAAGAUUAAAACUCAAAGAAAUUGACGGGGACCCGCACAAGCGGUGGAGUAUGUGGCUUAAUUCGAUGCAACGCGAAGAACCUUACCUGGGCUUGACAUGUAAUGAACAACAUGUGAAAGCAUGCGACUCUUCGGAGGCGUUACACAGGUGCUGCAUGGCCGUCGUCAGCUCGUGUCGUGAGAUGUUUGGUUAAGUCCAGCAACGAGCGCAACCCCUGUUGCCAGUUACCAGCACGUGAAGGUGGGGACUCUGGCGAGACUGCCCAGAUCAACUGGGAGGAAGGUGGGGACGACGUCAGGUCAGUAUGGCCCUUAUGCCCAGGGCUGCACACGUACUACAAUGCCCAGUACAGAGGGGGCCGAAGCCGCGAGGCGGAGGAAAUCCUGAAAACUGGGCCCAGUUCGGACUGUAGGCUGCAACCCGCCUACACGAAGCCGGAAUCGCUAGUAAUGGCGCAUCAGCUACGGCGCCGUGAAUACGUUCCCGGGUCUUGCACACACCGCCCGUCA
rnacentral:rRNA from 1 species